rfam:Cucumis sativus cultivar 9930 chromosome 2, whole genome shotgun sequence.
GUCGGUUCGAGGGCAUUCCAUAAAAUUGGAACAAUACAAAGAAGAUUGGUCCAUGUGCAAGAAUGACAUGCACAAAUGGAGAUUUAAGUUUGAACUUUUU